rnacentral:rRNA from 1 species
UACGUAGGUGGCAAGCGUUGUCCGGAUUCACUGGGCGUAAAGCGCGCGCAGGCGGUCUUCUACGUCUGGGGUGAAAACCCGGGGCUCAACCCCGGGACUGCCUUGGAUACGGGAAGACUUGAGAAUCGGAGAGGCAAGGGGAAUUCCACGUGUAGCGGUGAAAUGCGUAGAGAUGUGGAGGAACACCUGUGGCGAAGGCGCCUUGCUGGCCGAUUUCUGACGCUGAGGCGCGAAAGCGUGGGGAGCAAACAGG